AACGAACGCUGGCGGCAUGCCUAACACAUGCAAGUCGAACGAGACCUUCGGGUCUAGUGGCGCACGGGUGCGUAACGCGUGGGAACCUGCCCUUAGGUUCGGAAUAACUCCCCGAAAGGGGUGCUAAUACCGGAUAAUGUCUUCGGACCAAAGAUUUAUCGUCUUUGGAUGGGCCCGCGUUGGAUUAGCUAGUUGGUAGGGUAAAAGCCUACCAAGGCGACGAUCCAUAGCUGGUCUGAGAGGAUGAUCAGCCACACUGGGACUGAGACACGGCCCAGACUCCUACGGGAAGCAGCAGUGGGGAAUAUUGGACAAUGGGCGAAAGCCUGAUCCAGCACUGCCGCGUGAGUGAUGAAGGCCUUAGGGUUGUAAAGCUCUUUUACCCGGGAUGAUAAUGACAGUACCGGGAGAAUAAGCUCCGGCUAACUCCGUG
rnacentral:rRNA from 1 species